UUACGGUCAUAUCACGUUGUAACACCGGUUCCCGCACGCUGACUGCAGUUAAGCAACGUCGAGCCUGGUCAGUACUUAGAUAGUGACCGCUUGGGAAUACCAGGUGCUGUGA